GGCUUCUACUUUGUUUUUUCAGGGUUUUGUAGUGAGGCGACGUGGGUGGCCUGGUUGAGUCUAAUAGUGGGUCCAAUACGUGGUUUAUGUCCCCGCUCAUGACUAGGAUGCCUUUCCUAAUUUUUUCAAUUUUGGUGAGGACCCCGUGCAAAACGUUUCUUUGGUUGGUAUUUGGUGCGUAUAUAUUCACCAGUGUGUAGUCUAUAUCAUUGAUUGUGCAGUGCCAUAUAAUGUACCUCCCUCCUGGGUCUAUUGAUUGGUCAUGUGAUAUUACUGUGAGGUCUUUGCUGAGGAGAAUGGACACUCCUCGAGAUUUCCUCGGGGUGGUGGCAUGCACUUGGUGAGGGUAUAUGUUGGGGUUUAGGUGGGGGUGAGCCUCGGUUCUAAAGUGCGUUUCUUGGAGAUAUACUAUGUCGGCUUGUGCUUUUUUAAGUUCCCUUCCCAGGCGUGGCGUUUAUAUGGGAUAUUCAGUCCCUGUACAUUAUGAGAGUAUAGUUUUAGGCUUAUUGUGUAUGGUUUUGGGGUACGCUGUCUUGAUCUUUGUUGUCUUGGGAGGUGACUUGUGGCGGGUCGCUGCUCCUACUCUGAGAGGAUUGUUUGGGGGGGAUCUUUGCUAGGUAAAGGUGUAAAGGUUUAACCCUUCUUGGUUCUAUAAGGCGAUUGUGUUGCACAUGUGGAGUGUUAACCCAGCCUUUUUGUGUAAUGUAUACAGAGAUAUGUGGCGUGCUUUGACUCUGAUCAUAGGUGUAAAUAAAACAUUUAACAUAUUUACAAAAACAAACAAAACAGUUGUUGAAACCUGAACAUUGUGUCCUGGUCGUCCCGCUAGUUCCUCCCACUAGCUCACCCUAUCUGGGGGGUUGGGGAGUCCGGUUUUAGCCUGCAGGCCGCUCCAGUGGUCGCAGCCCCAGGCCAACGGCUCUAAUCUAUUCUACCUUGAAGAUAAUUCUUUAGGGCUGUCAAUCUUAGAAAAUCUUUUAUGUUUGGAGAGGCGGAGAGAUCGUACCUCCAGCCUUGUGCUUUUAGCUUGGUGGUGAUUAUAUGAACCUCUGCUCUUAAAAAUAGAAAUCGUCUCCUACCAAGGAGAUCUAAGAAUGCUAGUUUGGUAUGGUAGCUUAUCAGAGAGGUAACAUUCGGAUUCCAAGUUCCGAUAUGUUUGCAAGUGCUCUUUGUAUACCCAAAAGCCUCAUUGACAAAUGCCUUAAUGUGGUCCCUGGUUAAAACGGCCAAAUAACCAGGGAACCCUACAUUAACUCCUCCCUGGUGAUGGUAGUAAUGCGCUUGCCUUAAAUGAUACUGCUAGGGUUCAAAUGGCUAGUAUUGCCUGUGGAGCUGACACCCCUACCUGGCCAUACAGCCCUGUGAUCACCUCCCUCUCUACGUUUUCCGCCAUUGGGGUUUAUCGGUUACUAAGGCACUGAUUUUCUUUACGUUAUUUUAUAUUGAGC